GGUUUGUAGCUCAGUGGUAGAGCCCUUGCCUUCCACGUCAGAGGCACUAGGUUUGAUCCUCAGCACCA
rnacentral:tRNA from 1 species